GGCCUCCCCCAAGUCCACCUGCUCUGCCAGCAUUUGUGGAGUGUUCUACGCUGAGUGCUGCUCUAGAUUCUCCUACCAAAGAGGGAAAUAUGGAGGACAGAAGAAUUUACUACAGUAUACCCAGGGCCACACGUGUGGCAUAGCAGUCAAAUCAGAGCCACGGCAAUGUGAGAUCCAAGCCGCGUCUGUGACCUAUACCACAGCUCACAGCAACACCGGAUCCUUAACCCACUGAGCGAGGGCGGGUAUGAAACCCAGAACCUCAUGGUUCCUAGUUGGAUUCAUUUCCACUGUGCCACAAAGGGAACUCCCACUUCUGCAUUUUAUAGAGGAGGAGCUGCGCUGCCAAGGAGCUACGGAGUAACUAAACCCAGGUGGCCUGUUAUGGACAAACCUGGCCCUAGAACCCAGGCAACAGGCCCUUUCCACACCUUUGGAGGAAGAGAGAAGAAAGGCUCCAAUCUGGAGAGGUCUACAGGUACUAGGGGCUGUUUGUUCAACCUCCUGGAUAGGAAUAAGUCUUUACAGAGAAAUGCGGCUACAACAGGGCUGAGGAAAGAAUGGAAAAGAGAGAAACACAAAAUGGACUUGGAAAAAGACAGCAGCGAGAAUCACUGUGGCCCAAACCAUUUGCAUCCCAAGGACACCAACAUUCUAGGAAGGGGAUUUCAUGGUGCUACACUGUAAGGUAUUUCUAGGAGUAUUCUCAGCAUCUAAACCAACAACACUCUGAGAUAAAUGUAAAUAAGUAUUAGUUUUGGUAAUGCUAGAUUCUCAAGACUGUUUUUUGGAAACUUGUCCUGAAGAAAUAGUCUCUUAGUAUUUUAUGCUGGUGUAAAGAAGGGCAUGAAAAAGGAUAAACACAGGAGAACGAGACCUAAGAUUCAUACAGGGGUUUUGCACAAGGAAAAAAUUUAAUUAAGAAAAAGGAGUUGAAUCUGCAAUUCUGAAACAAUUAGUGUGAUGUGAAAUCCACUUAGCAAACUGCAGGUUUCAUCUUAAUAUUGGAAAAGAAAACACUAAAUUUCAUUAUUAUAGUAAGGGGAUUUUUGGUUUUGAUGUCUGCAGACACAACAUAUGGAAGUUCCCAGCCAGGGACUGAAUCCAAGCUGUAGCUGCAACCUCAGUCACAGCUGUGGCAAUGCUGGAUUCUUUAACCCACCGCACUAGUCCGGGGAUCAAACCCUCACCUGGAAGGUGACCCAAGCUACGGCAGUCGGGUUCUUAACCCACUGUGCCACAGUGGGAACUCCUAAGGGGAGGGCUUUUUUUUUUUUAAUACUCUAAGUUUCUAUGUAACGUUUUGUUUUGUUUUGUUUACUGUAUCUUGUACUCUAGAAAUUGUGAGAAACUUGAAUCCAGAGUGCUUACAUAUCUAAACCAUCCACUUACCUUUUUUCUCUUUUCCCUUCUCCAGCUGCACAAAUAGUUAUGUUGAAAAAUGCUAAUUCCAUCAAUGCCUGAUAUUCAGCUUUUCUAUAUAAAUUAGCCACAAAUGGACACUGCGGUACUAUGACUGAUAUCCUACCAGAUCCAUAGUCCUUCUAAUCCCAAAGUGUAUACCAGCAGAGCUUUUAAAAACACUGGACCCAAGCCUCAUUUG
rnacentral:lncRNA from 1 species